AGGGAGUGUGGCGAGGCUGUGGGAUGCCGGUUUUUGAGUAGAUUUUAAGGAAGGGGCCUUCUAGUCUUUGUUGUUUUGUUGUUCUCCUAAAAGUAUAUCGAUAUAACGGAGCAUCCAACUUUCAACAUCUGCAAGGAACCAUCUCGACGAUUGAUGUUCCGACUGAUUGGCAUCUGCUGAUCCGAACGAAACUUCUUACGACGCUAAAGGUUCUGAUCCUACUUGAUCGAGUUAGUCAAGGUCCGCAAGGAUGAAAGACGAUCUCUAUUACAAUCGAUACAUCAUCAAGAUCGCGUCAUGAACAUAUAUAAACUAUACAACAUCCCUGCCCCCAUCCCCUUAUUACUUGCCCGCCAAUCUAGCCACUUCGUCUGCUUCUCCCCUUCUCCUUGCCGCCUUGAACAUGUUUGCUUGACCUCCCUGGGACGAGGCAGCCUUGCUCAGUUUGGCCAGGAUCAUAGCCAGGCUGAGAGGUUUGACAGAGGGAUAGGACAUGGAACGAAUUGAAGGUUCCAUAUACGCCUGAACGGCAUCGGAAAGGAUGAUGUUAAUGGUCUGAAUGAAAUUGAAUCAGUCUUUGGGAAAAGGAUUAAGCUACAGAGGCAUAUAAAAAUGACACACAUGUUUUACUUCGUCAAAGACGUGAUCAAGCUCGGCUUUACCCAGUCGUUUGAUCUCAGUCUCGAUGAACGACACGUCGGCCAGUACACUCGCCAAUGCGCUUUCGUUCAAUUUGACAAUCUCUUGGCCCGUUAAUGUAUCCUAUCUUCUGUUAG
rnacentral:sRNA from 1 species